rnacentral:rRNA from 1 species
UGGGGAAUUUUGCACAAUGGGGGGAACCCUGACCGAGCAACGCCGCGUGAGUGAAGAAGGUUUUCGGAUCGUAAAGCUCUGUUGUUAAGGAAGAACGAGUGUGAGAAUGGAAAGUUCAUGCUGUGACGGUACUUAACCAGAAAGGGACGGCUAACUACGUGCCAGCAGCCGCGGUAAUACGUAGGUCCCGAGCGUUGUCCGGAUUUAUUGGGCGUAAAGCGAGCGCAGGCGGUUAGAAAAGUCUGAAGUUAAAGGCAGUGGCUCAACCAUUGUAGGCUUUGGAAACUGUUUAACUUGAGUGCAGAAGGGGAGGGUGGAAUUCCAUGUGUAGCGGUGAAAUGCGUAGAUAUAUGGAGGAACACCGGUGGCGAAAGCGGCUCUCUGGUCUGUAACUGACGCUGAGGCUCGAAAGCGUGGGGAGCGAACAGG